rnacentral:rRNA from 1 species
GGUUAAGCGACUAAGCGUACACGGUGGAUGCCCUGGCAGUCAGAGGCGAUGAAGGGCGUGCUAAUCUGCGAUAAGCGCCGGUAAGGUGAUAUGAACCGUUAUAACCGGCGAUACCCGAAUGGGGAAACCCAGUGUGACUCGUCACACUAUCAUUAACUGAAUCCAUAGGUUAAUGAGGCGAACCGGGGGAACUGAAACAUCUAAGUACCCCGAGGAAAAGAAAUCAACCGAGAUUCCCCCAGUAGCGGCGAGCGAACGGGGAGGAGCCCAGAGCCUGAAUCAGCAUGUGUGUUAGUGGAAGCGUCUGGAAAGGCGCGCGAUACAGGGUGACAGCCCCGUACACAAAAGCGCAUGUGCUGUGAGCUCGAUGAGUAGGGCGGGACACGUGGUAUCCUGUCUGAAUAUGGGGGGACCAUCCUCCAAGGCUAAAUACUCCUGACUGACCGAUAGUGAACCAGUACCGUGAGGGAAAGGCGAAAAGAACCCCGGCGAGGGGAGUGAAAAAGAACCUGAAACCGUGUACGUACAAGCAGUGGGAGCACAGGUUUACCUGUGUGACUGCGUACCUUUUGUAUAAUGGGUCAGCGACUUAUAUUCUGUAGCAAGGUUAACCGUAUAGGGGAGCCGUAGGGAAACCGAGUCUUAACCGGGCGUUAAGUUGCAGGGUAUAGACCCGAAACCCGGUGAUCUAGCCAUGGGCAGGUUGAAGGUUGGGUAACACUAACUGGAGGACCGAACCGACUAAUGUUGAAAAAUUAGCGGAUGACCUGUGGCUGGGGGUGAAAGGCCAAUCAAACCGGGAGAUAGCUGGUUCUCCCCGAAAGCUAUUUAGGUAGCGCCUCGUGAAUUCAUCUCCGGGGGUAGAGCACUGUUUCGGCUAGGGGGCCAUCCCGGCUUACCAACCCGAUGCAAACUGCGAAUACCGGAGAAUGUUAUCACGGGAGACACACGGCGGGUGCUAACGUCCGUCGUGAAGAGGGAAACAACCCAGACCGCCAGCUAAGGUCCCAAAGUCAUGGUUAAGUGGGAAACGAUGUGGGAAGGCCCAGACAGCCAGGAUGUUGGCUUAGAAGCAGCCAUCAUUUAAAGAAAGCGUAAUAGCUCACUGGUCGAGUCGGCCUGCGCGGAAGAUGUAACGGGGCUAAACCAUGCACCGAAGCUGCGGCAGCGACGCUGAUGCGUUGUUGGGUAGGGGAGCGUUCUGUAAGCCUGUGAAGGUGGCCUGUGAGGGUUGCUGGAGGUAUCAGAAGUGCGAAUGCUGACAUAAGUAACGAUAAAGCGGGUGAAAAGCCCGCUCGCCGGAAGACCAAGGGUUCCUGUCCAACGUUAAUCGGGGCAGGGUGAGUCGACCCCUAAGGCGAGGCCGAAAGGCGUAGUCGAUGGGAAACGGGUUAAUAUUCCCGUACUUGGUGUUACUGCGAAGGGGGGACGGAGAAGGCUAUGUUGGCCGGGCGACGGUUGUCCCGGUUUAAGCGUGUAGGUGUGUGUUCCAGGUAAAUCCGGUUCACUUUAACACUGAGGCGUGAUGACGAGGCACUACGGUGCUGAAGCAACAAAUGCCCUGCUUCCAGGAAAAGCCUCUAAGCAUCAGGUAACAUCAAAUCGUACCCCAAACCGACACAGGUGGUCAGGUAGAGAAUACCAAGGCGCUUGAGAGAACUCGGGUGAAGGAACUAGGCAAAAUGGUGCCGUAACUUCGGGAGAAGGCACGCUGACACGUAGGUGAAGUGAUUUACUCAUGGAGCUGAAGUCAGUCGAAGAUACCAGCUGGCUGCAACUGUUUAUUAAAAACACAGCACUGUGCAAACACGAAAGUGGACGUAUACGGUGUGACGCCUGCCCGGUGCCGGAAGGUUAAUUGAUGGGGUCAGCGCAAGCGAAGCUCCUGAUCGAAGCCCCGGUAAACGGCGGCCGUAACUAUAACGGUCCUAAGGUAGCGAAAUUCCUUGUCGGGUAAGUUCCGACCUGCACGAAUGGCGUAAUGAUGGCCAGGCUGUCUCCACCCGAGACUCAGUGAAAUUGAACUCGCUGUGAAGAUGCAGUGUACCCGCGGCAAGACGGAAAGACCCCGUGAACCUUUACUAUAGCUUGACACUGAACAUUGAGCCUUGAUGUGUAGGAUAGGUGGGAGGCUUUGAAGCGUGGACGCCAGUCUGCAUGGAGCCGGCCUUGAAAUACCACCCUUUAAUGUUUGAUGUUCUAACGUGGACCCGUGAUCCGGGUUGCGGACAGUGUCUGGUGGGUAGUUUGACUGGGGCGGUCUCCUCCUAAAGAGUAACGGAGGAGCACGAAGGUUGGCUAAUCCUGGUCGGACAUCAGGAGGUUAGUGCAAUGGCAUAAGCCAGCUUGACUGCGAGCGUGACGGCGCGAGCAGGUGCGAAAGCAGGUCAUAGUGAUCCGGUGGUUCUGAAUGGAAGGGCCAUCGCUCAACGGAUAAAAGGUACUCCGGGGAUAACAGGCUGAUACCGCCCAAGAGUUCAUAUCGACGGCGGUGUUUGGCACCUCGAUGUCGGCUCAUCACAUCCUGGGGCUGAAGUAGGUCCCAAGGGUAUGGCUGUUCGCCAUUUAAAGUGGUACGCGAGCUGGGUUUAGAACGUCGUGAGACAGUUCGGUCCCUAUCUGCCGUGGGCGCUGGAGAACUGAGGGGGGCUGCUCCUAGUACGAGAGGACCGGAGUGGACGCAUCACUGGUGUUCGGGUUGUCAUGCCAAUGGCACUGCCCGGUAGCUAAAUGCGGAAGAGAUAAGUGCUGAAAGCAUCUAAGCACGAAACUUGCCCCGAGAUGAGUUCUCCCUGAGACUUAGAGUCUCCUGAAGGAACGUUGAAGACGACGACGUUGAUAGGCCGGGUGUGUAAGCGCAGCGAUGCGUUGAGCUAACCGGUACUAAUGAACCGUGAGGCUUAACCUUACAACGCCGAAG